AUAGUGAACCAGUACCGUGAGGGAAAGGCGAAAAGAACCCCUGUGAGGGGAGUGAAAUAGAACCUGAAACCGUGUACGUACAAGCAGUAGGAGCACCUUCGUGGUGUGACUGCGUACCUUUUGUAUAAUGGGUCAGCGACUUAUAUUCAGUGGCAAGGUUAACCGUAUAGGGGAGCCGUAGCGAAAGCGAGUCUUAACUGGGCGCUCAGUCUCUGGAUAUAGACCCGAAACCGGGUGAUCUAGCCAUGGGCAGGUUGAAGGUUGAGUAACAUCAACUGGAGGACCGAACCGACUAAUGUUGAAAAAUUAGCGGAUGACUUGUGGCUAGGGGUGAAAGGCCAAUCAAACUCGGAGAUAGCUGGUUCUCCCCGAAAGCUAUUUAGGUAGCGCCUCGGACGAAUACUACUGGGGGUAGAGCACUGUUAAGGCUAGGGGGUCAUCCCGACUUACCAACCCUUUGCAAACUCCGAAUACCAGUAAGUACUAUCCGGGAGACACACGGCGGGUGCUAACGUCCGUCGUGGAGAGGGAAACAACCCAGACCGCCAGCUAAGGUCCCAAAGUAUUGCUAAGUGGGAAACGAUGUGGGAAGGCUCAGACAGCUAGGAUGUUGGCUUAGAAGCAGCCAUCAUUUAAAGAAAGCGUAAUAGCUCACUAGUCGAGUCGGCCUGCGCGGAAGAUGUAACGGGGCUAAGCAAUACACCGAAGCUGCGGCAAUGUCUUUUAGA
rnacentral:rRNA from 1 species